GCCCAACCUUCCUUGCCCACUCCUCUCGAUCCCAUCGUUCGUGGCCGCCGCCGUCCGAGGGGAGUCGCCGCCGCCGCGUCUCUCGAUCCCAUCGGCCCCGUCGGAUCUCGCCGCUGGCGGACGACUCGAGAAGACCCCGCCGGAUCUCGCCCUCGUCAUCAGUUCUGGAUCGCCGCCGCCGCCGAUCCCCUGCUCGCCCACGCACGCUGCCGCGGAUGAAGGCCGCCUGCUCGCGAUCCCCAAACCUGCUGGCGCCGCGCUCCGUAGGAUCCAAGUACGCCCCUCUCCGUGGUGUUCACUGAUUGCUUGGAGCAACAACGUGCUGUUGGAGUUGCCGAAGCAUUAGGUGAUUCGAUUGUGUGCGUUUGCUGGAUUUGUUUGACGAAGGAAAGAUGACGAUGAAGGACACACAGAGGAGUGUGAGCGGUGAUGGUACCAAGGUUACCGGCAGCGAUGGGGCUGGGAACGGUGAUCGGUGGUGCUGGUGUCGGCAGUGCGGUACAAGGUCAGGAUGCGGGAUGGGACGGCCAUCCGUGUGAGGCAGUCGGCGGCGAGGGUUUGUGGCAUCACGAGGAGCGCCCGCGGAUUCAAGGUGUUGGCCCGAGACCUCCGACGAGGGAGGAGACGAUGUUAGUAUUUCCAUAGGAAAAAAACAAGAGAAGAAGAACAAGAACAACGACGGCAAUCUCGGGUUCCAGGUACGAUGGAGCCGGCGGCGAAGCGCAUGGCGCUCGCAAACGUGAUAGUGGAUGGCGACGAUACCCUCAACUGCGGCAUCUGCUACCUCCCUCUCAAGCCACCAGUCUUCUAGUGUGGCGUCGGUCAUACCAUAUCCUCGCGGUGCCACGACAAGAUGGUGGCGGCAAGGAGGUGCCGUGUGUGUCACAUCCGGUUGACCGGCGGCUAUCGCUGGAACAUCGCACUGGAGAGGCUAACAGAGUCCAUCCGGGUGCCGUGCGCCAACGCCGCCCACGGCUGCACUGCCACGCCGGCCUACUAUGACCACCCCGACCACCUCAAGGCGUGCCCUCACGACGCCGUGCUAUUGCCCGCAGGCAGACUGCGGUUUCGCUAGCUCCACGGCGGCACUCCUGGACCACUUUGCCGACACGCACGGGUGGCCGUGCAUGACCGAGCUUGGGCCUGGGCGUGCAUCGAGGUCCAGCUCUAUGACGGCUUCAACGCCUUCUCGGCCCGUGCCCAAUGCCGGCAGUACCUGUUCCUGCUGAACGUGGCGUUGAACCCGUUUGGCCGAGCGGUCUCCAUGCUCUCCCUGCAUCCUCGGGCGUUGUCGGCGGCGCCAUGUUCUUUGGAGUUCGAGGUAAGACUCAGGUACUGCUGCAAGAUCAACCACCGUGGCGACACCAGGAAACUACGUUUAAAGUAGGGUGCACUGAUCUCUCCGAACUCAGAUUUAUGACAAGGACACAAGCAAAUUUAUAGCAUCCGUUGUGAUGAUACAAGGGAAGUAAGCAUAGAUGCGCUCAACGUGAUGAUAGGUGGGAGAGCUUGGCCUAUGCUGCCAACUGAUCUGCAGCGGUGCAGAAGGAGAUUUCAAAAGCAGGGCAAGCGAGAGCGACUGUUCUAUUGAUGGUCAAAGGGAGGGCUUGGCAAGAGAGAUUGAGGGAGCUCUACUACCUCGAUCUUGGCAUAGAACCUGAUGGCAUCAUGCCCAGGAAACUUCCUUCUUCAGUAUGUAUGGGGAUUUAUAUGACACCAAAAGAGAAGUCCGGUGUGUUUCUUGGUUCUAUGGAACCCCUCGACCGGAAGCAAAUAGAUCACAUCGCAAGUUGCUUGCCCAAUAUAAUCGUGCCGCAAGUUACCAACAUCGCGUGCUUAUACACCAUCGACUUUGCUGGAAAUCUAUCUGUCCGUGCUCCACCGUCUGUCGGAACUUCUUCUGCCCAUGCUACACCUGAGCUCAACACUGCAUCGCCCGGUUCGUUUGCUUGCUUCCUUUGCUUGGCUCAGGAAGGAGAAGGCCAGGACUAGCGACAAGAACCUAAGGGUCUUGCGUCACGGCCUUUGCCCAGAAGGCGAAGAACUAAAACUAAUUUUUUUUUACCUUCCAAAAAAUUACAUGAUACAUAACUACUCCCUCCGUUCAGAAAUACUUGUCAUCAAAAUGGACAAAAGAAGACAUAUCUAGACGUAUUUUAGUUCUAGAUACAUUCUUUUUUGUCCAUUUUGAUGACAAGUAUUUUCGGGCGGAGGGAGUAUUAUUAGACUUUAGAUCUCAACCAUUAUAAUCUAGACCAAUUGAUCUUUGCCCCGUUUUUUCUGGUAUGUAUACUACAAAUCUAUUUUCCAAUCAAAGUACACAAAGUUUUUUUUUAAAGAGCUGAGUAAGUUAUAAGAAAGAAGCAGGAGUCCGACUUCUCCAUUUGGUAUUGAACAUAAUCACAUGUAUUUUGAUUAGACUCUUUCUUAGGGUCUUUUUUUUAUUUGGAUUCUUUUUUUAGUCUACCAUAAGAUGGCUACCAUAGAAAGGCAUUGAUCUAUCUGUACUUUUUUUUAGAAUGAUAUGUGACAUGUUAAACUAUUUGUACAUGGUAAUAUUUAUAAGUAACGCUACAUUUUUUUAAA